GUGCCAGCCGCCGCGGUAAUACGUAGGGUGCGAGCGUUAAUCGGAAUUACUGGGCGUAAAGCGUGCGCAGGCGGCCAUAUAAGACAGAUGUGAAAUCCCCGGGCUCAACCUGGGAAUUGCAUUUGUGACUGUAUGGCUAGAGUGUGUCAGAGGGAGGUGGAAUUCCACGUGUAGCAGUGAAAUGCGUAGAUAUGUGGAGGAACGCCAAUGGCGAAGGCAGCCUCCUGGGAUAACACUGACGCUCAUGCACGAAAGCGGGGGGAGCAAACAGGAUUAGAUACCCCUGUAGUCC
rnacentral:rRNA from 1 species